GGUUGAGUAGAAUUUUGCCUUAACCUGCCAAGUUUGAGGUCAGGGGCUCAGGGAAUGUUGCUCAGAGCUUGCAGAAGGGCCUGGACCUGUGGCAGAAGCCAUUUGCCUGCCGAGCUUCUGGAAAAGAGGCCUGGGUGUCUACUCAAAAGAGAUGAAAACAUAUGCCUUCACAAAGAUAUGUGCUCAAAUGGUGAUUGUAGCAUUAUUUAUAAUAAUCAAAAUGUUACAGGACUUCCUUCUCCUUAAGGUGCCUGCAGUUCUUGGUUAUACCACUUUGAAGAAUGAAGAAGUAGACCAGACUAAGAGUGGAUCUAAACCCUUCUGAGCACUCAGAUACUGGACCAGCUGGAGCCAGGGAAUUGAUGAUGGCCAUUGCACAAGAGCCUUCAUGAAUACGUAGCUUAAAACCACCCCAGUUCCACUGUUGUUUGGGAAGACACUCUUUGGGAAAGAUCCCAGGUGUUCUUUUGUACUUGCUGCAAAUAAAACCCUUCCUUUUCCUAUU